GAUUCAGAUAUGAAGCAGCUUCAUGAUCUUGUGGAGAGUCCAGACUAUAAACUGGAGGAUCUGGGGUGGAAGUAUUAACCAGGAGGGUGUGUGGUGUGAGAGGAUGAGCUGUGUCCUGAUGAUCCAGAGGUUGAAGCAGCAGCAGCUUGUGUGGACAGAGACUCUGACUGCAGAUAAAUGCUGAUGUUGAUGAAGAAGUGAGCAGCUCAGUCACAAACAUUCUUCUCCCAGUGAUGCAGCCAGUGUUCAGUUUCUCUCACUCAGCAGAUACAUGUGCUUCUGUCUCUUCUGCUCUAUGGACUCCACUGAGUCAACAUCUAAAACCAUUUGGACUUUUCUGUUGGGUUUCAGUGGAGGUGUGUAUGUGCUGGAUGCUUGAACACAAUCAGCUGAUAGAUGUGUAUGUGCUAUGAUUGGUGUAUUCCUGCUGUAGCCGUAGAAAUAAAAUAGUAACAUGUCGGAUGGAAUCAGCCUCCAAUCAUGUGAUGACUCUUCUGAAAGGAGAACUUCAUCUUUACAGACUCAUGUUGGACGUGUUCUGUUGUUUCCGUACUGAGGCACAAAGAUUCAUGUGUUUUAAAUAUGUAUCUAAUCACAUUAUAUAUCAACUGGAGUCGCGUCAUUAUGUAACAUGUACUAGAGUCAGUUUGUCACUGUUUUAUCAGUCAUUCAUUUAUCUUUUUAUCAGGUCACUAGCUACUAGCCACUGUUACUAUUAAUGAAGCAAAAUGUAAACAUUUGUAUUAAUAUUCUGCUUAAAACUAAUAUUUUACAAGUAGUUCACUCAGAAACAGAUUCUGAUCAUCGAUAUAUUCUUGUAUUAGAAGAAAUUGCAUAAACUAAUAAAACGUUUAUUCGUACAGACUA